rnacentral:rRNA from 1 species
UACGUAGGGGCAAGCGUUGUCCGGAAUCAUUGGGCGUAAAGAGCGUGUAGGCGGCCCGGUAAGUCCGCUGUAAAAGUCAAAGGCUCAACCUUUGAAUGUCAGUGGAUACUGCCGGGCUAGAGUCCGGAAGAGGCGAGUGGAACUCCUGGUGUAGCGGUGGAAUGCGCAGAUAUCAGGAAGAACACCAACGGCGAAGGCAGCUCGCUGGGACGGUACUGACGCUGAGACGCGAAAGCGUGGGGAGCGAACAGG